CGCCGGCGGCCUGACAUUGGGAUCGGAGGCCAUGGUGCAGCCAAGGAUGACUUGCCGAUCGAUCGAUCUAUCUAUGAAGCUAAGCUAGCUGGCCAUGGAUCCAUCCAUCAAUUGGCAAGUUGUUCUUGGCUACAUCUUGGCCCCUGCUCCUCAUGUAAGGCCGGCCUGUGGCG
rnacentral:ncRNA from 3 species